AUCAACUUUCGAUUGGUAGGAUAGAGGCCUACCAUGGUAGUAACGGGUAACGGGGAAUUAGGGUUCGAUUCCGGAGAGGGAGCCUGAGAAACGGCUACCACAUCCAAGGAAGGCAGCAGGCGCGCAAAUUACCCAAUCCCGACACGGGGAGGUAGUGACAAGAAAUAACAAACCAGGGCUCUUACGAGUCUUGUUAUUGGAAUGAGUACGAUUUAAAUCUCCUAACGAGGAACAAUUGGAGGGCAAGUCUGGUGCCAGCAGCCGCGGUAAUUCCAGCUCCAAUAGCGUAUAUUAAAGUUGUUGCAGUUAAAAAGCUCGUAGUUGAACUUCAGGCCUGUCCAGACGGUCCGCCUUAAUUGGUGUGUACUGUCCUUGGGUGGGUCCUACCUUCUGGCGAAGCGGCAUGGCCUUAAUUGGUUGUGUCGGGGAACCAGGACUUUUACUGUGAAAAAAUUANAGUGUUCAAAGCAGGCAAAUAUGCUCGAAUACAUUAACAUGGAAUAAUGGAAUAGGACGAUGGUUCUAUUUUUGUUGGUUCUAGGAUCGUUGUACUAUUAAC
rnacentral:rRNA from 1 species